rnacentral:rRNA from 1 species
UUAGGGAUAAGGGGUGCCACCAUCAGGUGGCCGCAGAGAAUAGGCCCAAGCGACUGUUUACCAAAAACAUAGGUUUCUGCUAAGUCGCAAGACGAUGUAUAGGAGCUGACGCCUGCCCGGUGCUGGACGGUUAAGGGGAUCUGUUAGAGUAAUCGAAGCAGUGAACUUAAGCCCCAGUAAACGGCGGCCGUAACUAUAACGGUCCUAAGGUAGCGAAAUUCCUUGUCGGGUAAGUUCCGACCCGCACGAAAGGCGUAACGAUUUGGGCACUGUCUCAACAACCGACUCGGUGAAAUUGUAAUUCCGGUGAAGAUGCCGGAUACCUGCGACAGGACGGAAAGACCCCAUGGAGCUUUACUGUAGCUUGACAUUGGGUCUUGGUACUACAUGUACAGGAUAGGUGGGAGGCUUUGAAACCAGGACGCCAGUUUUGGCGGAGCCAUCCUUGGGAUACCACCCUUGUAGUACUGGGACUCUAACCAUAGGCCAUGAAUCUGGUCUUGGGACACUGUCAGGUGGGCAGUUUGACUGGGGCGGUCGCCUCCCAAAAGG